AUUCGCCUUUUAAUUCAAAAUUAGAAUGUUGAUGUAAAUCCAAUUUUGUUAGCAUAUUUUAAGAAUAAGCCAACUAUUUUAAUAUUCAAUUCAAACGCAUUCAUCUUUCCUUACAUGGUUUAAUGCUAUUAUAAUGUAAGUUAACGAAUUUUUUUUUUAUACAUGACAUACUUGAAAUCGUUCAUCUCCUAAAUCAUUAUUUCAAGAUCAUCUCUAUACGCAAUUAAUCAAAUUUGAAAUUGUUUAGUAAUUUAUCAC
rnacentral:lncRNA from 1 species